AAAGACACCCAAAGUCAGAUUGCAGUUGAUAGGAGACCAGGGGGUAUCUCCUGAAUAUAAUCUGAAUGAACAUGGGAGGAAGCACAAUUUCCUUGGGGUAGGACAGAAGAAAUGGUUUCUUUUGUAUACAAAAGAGUCCCUGGGAAAACUGAAGAAGGUUGUGGUGUACAUCAGUGAUAGACCAGGAGCUCAAUGGAAUGUGCUGGACAUAACAGUAUAUGAUACAGUAUCUGGCUGUGAAUCCCACUUUAGCAGCAAUGGAUGCCUCACAGUGGGAUACACCACUUU